AUUGAACGCUGGCGGCAGGCCUAACACAUGCAAGUCGAACGCGUGGCAGACGGGUGAGUAAUGUCUGGGACACUGCCUGGUGGAGGGGGAUCACCACUGGAAACGGUCGCUAAUACCGCAUACCCUCAGAUGUGCCCAGAUGGGAUUAGCUUGUUGGUGGGGUAACGGCUCACCAAGGCGACGAUCCCUAGCUGGUCUGAGAGGAUGACCAGCCACACUGGAACUGAGACACGGUCCAGACUCCUACGGGAGGCAGCAGUGGGGAAUAUUGCACAAUGGGCGCAAGCCUGAUGCAGCCAUGCCGCGUGUAUGAAGAAGGCCUUCGGGUUGUAAAGUACUUUCAGCGGGGAGGCGUUACCCGCAGAAGAAGCACCAGCUAACUCCGUGCCAGCAGCCGCGGUAAUUC
rnacentral:rRNA from 1 species